rnacentral:rRNA from 1 species
UACGAAGGGGGCGAGCGUUGUUCGGAAUUACUGGGCGUAAAGAGUGUGUAGGCGGUGCUCUAAGUUCGGUGUGAAAUCUCCCGCUUAACUGGGAGGGUGCGCCGGAAACUGGAGUGCUCGAACGUGGGAGAGGAAAGCGGAAUUCCUGGUGUAGCGGUGAAAUGCGUAGAUAUCGGGAGGAACACCGAUGGCGAAGGCAGGUCUCUGGGCAUUAACUGACGCUGAGGAGCGAAAGCAUGGGGAGCGAACAGG